rnacentral:rRNA from 1 species
GAUGAACGCUGGCGGCGUGCUUAACACAUGCAAGUCGAACGGGAUCCCAGGAGCUUGCUCCUGGGUGAGAGUGGCGAACGGGUGAGUAAUGCGUGACCGACCUGCCCCAUACACCGGAAUAGCUCCUGGAAACGGGUGGUAAUGCCGGAUGCUCCAGUUGGAUGCAUGUCCUUCUGGGAAAGAUUCAUCGGUAUGGGAUGGGGUCGCGUCCUAUCAGGUAGUCGGCGGGGUAACGGCCCACCGAGCCUACGACGGGUAGCCGGCCUGAGAGGGCGACCGGCCACAUUGGGACUGAGAUACGGCCCAGACUCCUACGGGAGGCAGCAGUGGGGAAUAUUGCACAAUGGGCGCAAGCCUGAUGCAGCGACGCCGCGUGCGGGAUGACGGCCUUCGGGUUGUAAACCGCUUUUGACUGGGAGCAAGCCCUUCGGGGUGAGUGUACCUUUCGAAUAAGCACCGGCA